rnacentral:rRNA from 1 species
AGGACGACGCUGGCGGCGUGCUUAAUACAUGCAAGUCAACUUGACUUUAGAUAGCAAUAUCGAAAAGUAGGGUGGCGCACGGGUGCGUAACGCGUAGGUAAUCUGCCCUGAGGUCUGACAUAACCCGUCGAAAGGCGGGCUAACAUCAGAUGAUAUAUAAUCACGACAUCGUGGAAAUAUCAAAUCUUCGGAGCCUUGGGAUGAGCCUGCGUCUGAUUAGGUAGUUGGCGGAGUAAUAGCCCACCAAGCCUACGAUCAGUAGCUGGUCUGAGAGGAUGAUCAGCCACACUGGAACUGAGACACGGUCCAGACUCCUACGGGAGGCAGCAGUAAGGAAUAUUGCUCAAUGGGGGGAAACCCUGAAGCAGCAACGCCGCGUGAAGGAUGAAAUACUUUUGUAUGUAAACUUCUGUAAGAUGGGAAAAAUAUUCUCCUCGGGAGAAUUGAUUGUACCAUCAGAGUAAGCCCCGGCUAACUACGUG